ACUCAAAUGAAUUGACGGGGGCCCGCACAAGCAGCGGAGCGUGUGGUUUAAUUCGACGCAACGCGAAGAACCUUACCCAGGCUUGACAUGCAGCUGCAGUCGGCGGAAACGUCGGCGCCUUCGAGGGUGCUGCACAGGUGCUGCAUGGUUGUCGUCAGCUCGUGUCGUGAGAUGUUGGGUUAAGUCCCGCAACGAGCGCAACCCCUGCCGGUAGUUACAUGUGUCUACCGGGACGGUCCCCUUGAUGGGGGAAGGAAGGCGGGGAUGACGUCAAAUCAGCAUGGCCCUUACGCCUGGGGCGACACACACGCUACAAUGGCCGGGACAGUGCGUUGCCAAGCCGCAAGGCGGAGCAAAUCGUAAAAACCCGGUCUCAGUGCAGAUCGGGGGCUGCAACUCGCCCCCGUGAAGGCGGAGUUGCUAGUAACCGCGUAUCAGCCACGGCGCGGUGAAUACGUUCCCGGGCCUUGUACACACCGCCCGU
rnacentral:rRNA from 1 species